CGAACGUGGGUAACCGUGCCCAACGAGACUGGGAUAACACCUGGAAACAGAUGCUAAUACCGGAUAACAACACAAGACGCAUGUCUAGNGUUUAAAGAUGGUUCUGCUAUCACUCUUGGAUGGACCUGCGGUGCAUUAGCUAGUUGGUAAGGUAACGGCUUACCAAGGCAAUGAUGCAUAGCCGAGUUGAGAGACUGAUCGGCCACAUUGGGACUGAGACACGGCCCAAACUCCUACGGAAGGCAGCAG
rnacentral:rRNA from 1 species